CGCCGGUGGCGGAGAGGAUGUUCUGGUUGGAGAAGCCGACGUAGCAGAGGUCGUAGUAGACGGCGGCGUCCUUACCGUAGGGGCAGAGCUUCUGCGCGUCGUUGAAGCCGUUGGACACGCAGUUGCCGCAGGCGGAGGCGUUGGCGUCGCCGCGGCAGAGCGCGAGCGCGUAGACGAUGUCCGGAACGGUGCCGACGCUGUCGGCCGCGAAGAGCGUCCGCGAGGAGGAGGCGUUCUUGGGAAGGGUGGUGGAGAGGGCCCGGAUGUUUGCUUGGUAGGGGCUGUUCGUGGUGAAGUUGCCCUUAUUGCCGCAGUUCGGCCACUGGGAAGCGGCCAGCGGCGGGAGGAGGAAGGCAAGGAGGAGGGCAGCGGCGGUGGCGAGGUAGGAGGGGAUGCGGCCGCGGUGGUGCGAGGCCAUGGCGUUUGGCCGCUUGGGCGAGCCGACGAG
rnacentral:rRNA from 1 species